rnacentral:rRNA from 1 species
UAAGGAAUAUUGGUCAAUGGAGGCAACUCUGAACCAGCCAUGCCGCGUGCAGGAAGACGGCCCUCUGGGUUGUAAACUGCUUUUAUUCGGGAAUAAACCUAUCUACGUGUAGAUAGCUGAAUGUACCGAAGGAAUAAGGAUCGGCUAACUCCGUGCCAGCAGCCGCGGUAAUACGGAGGAUCCAAGCGUUAUCCGGAUUUAUUGGGUUUAAAGGGUGCGUAGGCGGCCUAUUAAGUCAGGGGUGAAAGACGGUAGCUCAACUAUCGCAGUGCCCUUGAUACUGAUGGACUUGAAUGAACUAGAGGUAGGCGGAAUGUGACAAGUAGCUGUGAAAUGCAUAGAUAUGUCACAGAACACCGAUUGCGAAGGCAGCUUACUAUGGUUUAAUUGACGCUGAGGCACGAAAGCGUGGGGAUCAAACA